rnacentral:rRNA from 1 species
CGCGUAGGCGGUUUGAUCAGUCGGAUGUGAAAGCCCCGGGCUCAACCUGGGAACUGCAUUCGAUACUGUCAAACUAGAGUGUGGUAGAGGGAAGUGGAAUUCCAGGUGUAGCGGUGAAAUGCGUAGAUAUCUGGAGGAACAUCAGUGGCGAAGGCGACUUCCUGGACCAACACUGACGCUGAGGUGCGAAAGCGGUGGGGAGCAAACA